ensembl:lncRNA
UGAGAAGCUCAGGACAGCAGAGGAGACGUGGUGAGCUCCUGAUGAAGACUGUGUGUGUGUGUGUGUGUGUGUGCCCACUCAUGCUCUUCUGUCUCUAUAGCCAAGAUGUGACACCUGCUGAAUCACCAGUGAGAUUCACCUGAGUCAUUUAGCAAAGAUAAAUAGAGGCUUCAGCAGCAGCGAGACACACAGAACACUCAAGCUUCACUGACGCUUGUGUUUCACUCAAAGCACGCUUGAAAGUCAUUAGAAACAGCCAGAGCUGCUGAUGAGUCAUGAUGAUCUUCACUCAUUAGUGCUGUUCCCUACAUACUGAACCUGAGAAAGAGCGCAAGAGAAUAGCCAGAAUCCCUUCUGAGCCUCAGGCACUUCCACAUCGUUCCAACCCAGAAUCCCAUGCAGAAGAGACACAGAGAGAUGAAAGACGAAAAAAGACGAGCGUCCAGCAGGCUUUGUGUGAUCCACCUCACUGUCCCUGAACCUCACACUAUCUGUUCAUACAGACAUUUAGAGCUGCUCUGUUUUCUCUGUACUUCUCUUGCACAUCAGAUUGAAAGACCACUGCUGCAUUUGUUGCUAACGUCACAUAAUCCUGCUCCUUUCUCUCCUUACAAUUUCUUUCUUUUUUCUUUUGGAGGGGAAUGUUUGCCUGUGUUUUCAUGGUUGUCAUGGACACCAGCACUCCUGGCUUUAUG